AGGCUGCACUCAAGGAUCCAGAAGUCCACAUGUGACCCCAAGGCCACAGGUUCCCCACCCCGGCAUGAUGUUUCCCUCUACACAAUCAGAACUGUUGUCUUAAUGUCUUAUUGACUGGGCAAGAGACCAGAGCCCCUGCUUCUUAAAAUUACUCAUAUUUGAAGCUUUUAAAUAUAUUUUUCUUCCUCUUUACAGGGUUAAAUGAUGAUAUUUUGAUCCAAGACUUGGGUUUGAGAUUAGUUUGUGUUCUUUUAAAACACUUCACAUUGACAAAACUAUUGGCCAGAAACCCAAGCUGGAACAGCUGUGCUGGAUCAGACCUUUGACACAUGGGACAGCAGAUUUACGUAGAGCAGAAGACCUGCGGCACCCAUUGGUUCCCUGAGUUGGGGCCCACAGCCUCCCACCAGGGAUCUCCUGCAGCCAGCACCAGCCCUGCACAUUUUGCUCAAGUCUUUGCCAGCCUGCUUUCCCUCUCAUUAUAGUAUUUUAAAGAUGGCCCUGGUUUUGCCUUUAAAAAAAAAUGUUCAUACACUACCUGGUUUCUUUACCAAAAUGAAACUAUAUGUAUAA